rnacentral:rRNA from 1 species
ACGGCUCAGUAACACGUAGUCAACAUAACCAAAGGACGUGGAUAAACUCGGGAAACUGAGGCUAAACCGCGAUAGAUCAAGAUACCUGGAAUGGUUUUUGAUUAAAAUCUAUAUGGCCUUUGGAUUGGACUGCGUCCGAUCAGGCUGUUGGUGAGGUAAUGGCCCACCAAACCUGUAACCGGUACGGGCUCUGAGAGGAGGAGCCCGGAGAUGGGUACUGAGAAAAGGACCCAGGCCCUAUGGGGCGCAGCAGGCGCGAAACCUCUGCAAUAGGCGAAAGCUUGACAGGGUUACUCUGAGUGAUUUCCGUUAAGGAGAUCUUUUGGCACCUCUAAAAAUGGUGCAGAAUAAGGGGUGGGCAAGUCUGGUGUCAGCCGCCGCGGUAAUACCAGCACCCCGAGUGGUCGGGACGUUUAUUGGGCCUAAAGCAUCCGUAGCCGGUUCUACAAGUCUUCCGUUAAAUCCACCUGCUUAACAGAUGGGCUGCGGAAGAUACUAUAGAGCUAGGAGGCGGGAGAGGCAAGCGGUACUCGAUGGGUAGGGGUAAAAUCCGUUGAUCCAUUGAAGACCACCAGUGGCGAAGGCGGCUUGCCAGAACGCGCUCGACGGUGAGGGAUGAAAGCUGGGGGAGCAAACCGGAUUAGAUACCCGGGUAGUCCCAGCUGUAAACGAUGCAGACUCGGUGAUGAGUUGGCUUAUUGCUAACUCAGUGCCGCAGGGAAGCCGUUAAGUUUGCCGCCUGGGGAGUACGGUCGCAAGACUGAAACUUAAAGGAAUUGGCGGGGGAGCAC